UAGAGUUUGAUUAUGGCUCAGAUUGAACGCUGGCGGCAUGCCUAACACAUGCAAGUCGAACGAUGAUUACUAGCUUGCUAGUAUGAUUAGUGGCGGACGGGUGAGUAAUAUAUAGGGAUCUGCCUGUUAGUGGGGGACAACAGCCGGAAACGGCUGCUAAUACCGCAUACGCUCUACGGAGGAAAGUGGGGGACCCUCGGGCCUCACGCUAACAGAUGAACCUAUAUCAGAUUAGCUAGAUGGUGGGGUAAAGGCCUACCAUGGCGACGAUCUGUANCUGGUUUGAGAGAAUGAUCAGCCACACUGGGACUGAGACACGGCCCANACUCCUACGGGAGGCAGCAGUGGGGAAUAUUGGACAAUGGGCGCAAGCCUGAUCCGGCAAUGCCGCGUGUGUGAANAAGGCCUUCGGGUUGUAAAGCACUUUAAGUUGGGAGGAAAAGCUUGGGGUU
rnacentral:rRNA from 2 species